rnacentral:rRNA from 1 species
UACAGAGGGUGCGAGCGUUAAUCGGAAUUACUGGGCGUAAAGCGCACGUAGGCGGCUUGGUAUGUCGGGUGUGAAAUCCCCGGGCUCAACCUGGGAACUGCAUCCGAAACUGCCUGGCUAGAGUAUGGGAGAGGGAAGUGGAAUUCCCAGUGUAGCGGUGAAAUGCGUAGAUAUUGGGAGGAACACCAGUGGCGAAGGCGGCUCGCUGGACCGGUUCUGACGCUGAGGCGCGAAAGCGUGGGGAGCAAACAGG